CCUACGGGAGGCUGCAGUGGGGAAUCUUGCACAAUGGGGGAACCCCUGAUGCAGCGAAGCCGCGUGAAGGAAGAAGUAUUUCGGUAUGUACACUUCUUUCAGCAGGGAAGAAAAUGACGGUACCUGACUAAGAAGCACCGGCUAACUACGUGCCAGCAGCCGCGGUAAUACGUCGGGGGCACGCGUUAUCCGGAUUUACUGGGUGUAAAGGGAGCGUAGGCGGUGCAGCAAGUCAGAAGUGAAAGCCCUGGGCUCAACUCCGGGACUGCUUUUGAAAAUGUUGAACUAGAUUGCAGGAGAGGUAAGUGGAAUGCCUAGUGUAGCGGUGAAAUGCGGAUAUAUUAGGAGGAACACCAGUGGCGAAGGCGGCUUACUGGACUGUAAAUGACGCUGAGGCUCGAAAGCGUGGGGAGCAAACAGGAUUAGAUACCCCAGUAGUC
rnacentral:rRNA from 1 species